GAGGGUACAGCUCAGUGAUAGAGUGUGUGCUUAGCAUGCACGAGGUCCUGGGUUCAGUCCCCAGUACCUCUU
rnacentral:tRNA from 1 species